rfam:Triticum aestivum genome assembly, contig: Triticum_aestivum_CS42_TGACv1_scaffold_499511_6BL
CAAGUACUCCCUCCGUCCAGAAAUAUUUGUCGGAGGAAUGGAUGUAUCUAGACGUAUUUUAGCUUUAGAUGCAUCCAUUUAUAUCCAUUUCUGCGACGAGUAUUUCUGGACGGAGAGAGUACAAA